rnacentral:lncRNA from 1 species
UUUGUGAUGAUGUUGAUAUAUAUAAUAUUGUUAUAUAUGUAAUUAUUAAUUAAGUAUAUCUAUAUAUAUAUGUGUUAAUUAAUUUGUUAUCAAUUAGUUGUAAUACGUAGAAUAUAUAUAAAUGAAUUGAAAUUUUAUAUAUGGCAUAGAAUUUAAUUAAUAAUUAGCUAGCGUUAUACAUAUAUAUUUUGUUAUAUUUUCAGGAUAUGGAUAAGAGUUGGAUUUCGCUUCCAAAAUAGGAUAAAAGAUACAGUGCAGGAGUUAUGAGUUUUAUAGAAUAUGCGCUGGCUAAUGCUAACGGGAAUACAAUUUUCUAUUGCCCGUGCACGAAAUGUCAGUGUCGCAGCGAUAUGCAUCGAUUUCCCAUUGACAAAGUAUGGCAGCACCUGAGGAGUAACGGGUUUUGGGAGAAGUACACAUGUUGGUUAUAUCACGGUGAAACAUCAUCAGGGGGUCCGCAUGAUCNNNNNN